AGCCAACGCCACCAUUGGACGGUGGCAGCCCAACAACCAACUCCAUAUCCCCUCGACCCCUUCAUCUCGGCUUCUACAUCCAUGCCCAGGUACGACGGCGGGGCGGCAACAGUGGCGGGGAGGCGCAAGAUCUGAGCUGCGAUGCGGAGCGGCUCGACGUACAAGAGCGCUGCUGCGCCCAGGUCCAGGAGCAAGAUUGCACGGGUGUGCCGGGAGGCAGCCGCAGACCACGGCGAGGAGCGUGGCCGUGCAGAGGAGGUGAUGGCCACACCAAACAGCGGCCACUCAAGAAAUCAACAGCUUCCCAUAAUGGAGCACAAGGCCCUAUUGUGGUUAGCCCUGUUAUAGAUCAAUAGCUUCUCAUGAUGAUGAUGAUGAAGCUAUGUUCCAAGGAUGAGUUUGAUUCAAUCGUAACUGAAGACUAGAAGAUGAUGCCUAGAACACUAAGGUGAAGAAUGGAAGAUGAUACAUGGUUCUACCCGUGCGUGCUUGAUGUUGUGCUAUGCCAUUUUGUGGGAAACUAAGACUGAGAAUGAUGUUGUGUUGUUGCUAUGUCAUUUCGCGAUGACUGAAAAUUGUGUACUUAUGUUUAUUCGAUGUUAUGUCAUUUUGUGAGAAUGUGAGAGAUUAUUUGGUGAUCUGCACUUUCCAGUGUCAUCUUGUGAGAAUCCAAGAGAUGAUUUGAUGCUAUGCACUUGUGCUAUGUCAUUUUGUGAGAGCU